rnacentral:rRNA from 1 species
ACGCACGCUGGCGGCGUGCUUCACACAUGCCAGUCGCACGGAAAGGCCCUGCUUUUGUGGGGUGCUCGAGUGGCGAACGGGUGAGUAACACGUGAGUAACCUGCCCUUGACUUUGGGAUAACUUCAGGAAACUGGGGCUAAUACCGGAUAGGAGCUCCUGCUGCAUGGUGGGGGUUGGAAAGUUUCGGCGGUUGGGGAUGGACUCGCGGCUUAUCAGCUUGUUGGUGGGGUAGUGGCUUACCAAGGCUUUGACGGGUAGCCGGCCUGAGAGGGUGACCGGCCACAUUGGGACUGAGAUACGGCCCAGACUCCUACGGGAGGCAGCAGUGGGGAAUAUUGCACAAUGGGCGGAAGCCUGAUGCAGCAACGCCGCGUGCGGGAUGACGGCCUUCGGGUUGUAAACCGCUUUCGCCUGUGACGAAGCGUGAGAGACGGUAAUGGGUAAAGAAGCACCGGCUAACUACGUG